AUUGAACGCUGGCGGCGUGCCUAACACAUGCAAGUCGAGCGGGUAAGGCCCUUUCGGGGGUACACGAGCGGCGAACGGGUGAGUAACACGUGGGUGACCUGCCCUCAGCUCUGGGAUAAGCCCGGGAAACUGGGUCUAAUACCGGAUAUGACUUCAUGACGCAUGUUGUGGAGUGGAAAGCCUUGUGCGGCUGAGGAUGGGCCCGCGGCCUAUCAGCUUGUUGGGGGGUGAUGGCCUACCAAGGCGACGACGGGUAGCCGGCCUGAGAGGGCGACCGGCCACACUGGGACUGAGAUACGGCCCAGACUCCUACGGGAGGCAGCAGUGGGGAAUCUUGCGCAAUGGGCGAAAGCCUGACGCAGCGACGCCGCGUGAGGGAUGACGG
rnacentral:rRNA from 1 species